UUUCACAGUGAGUGCAGCACCUCCCCAGCUCAGGUCCUCCACUGUCUUUGCCUGAGCUCACUCUGGCCAUGGGCCUGCUGUGCACCAGGCCAGGCAGUGGUAAGGUCCAGAGGUGGGUGGGAGCUGCCACACCUCGAACGGAGGAAACACAGCCACAACGAUGGGUCCUAUGGAAACCCAGAACAGAGGGUUCUAUGAAUCUGUCCACUUACAAUGGGGGUUUCCAAGUAAGCCUGGGUGCCUGUAACAUCUGCCCAAAGAGGUUAUCUCUGCCCCAAAACCCACUGCCUGUGGCACCCAAAAGGAAGGACAUCCCCCAGAAGUGACCCUGUCAAUCUCCAGAGGUCACAUUGGCAAUGUAGACAGGGCCAUCUCACCCCUAUGAAGGAGGCCAAACUGUCCCUCCCUGCCCUCAGCCUGUGACCCAUUCUUCCUGAAGCUGCAUCCUUCCUUGAUCAGUGCUGUCCCCACACGGUUGGUGGUCUUCCCUCCCCACACUGCGGAGAACAAUAGGCAAAGGCAGCAAGGAAGGAAGGGCCAGCGUGGAGGUGUUCAUGAAGACCACAAAGGUCUAUCAUGGAGGCCGAGUGGGGCUUGGGUGGUCAGAGAUGUUUAAGCCGGGGUCUAAACAGGAUCUAGCUAAGAGGAGUGAACCUGGGAAAGUUGCAGCCAAUCUAGAGGUUCCUGCCUGCCAGGUUCCUAAAAGUAAACAAUCCAGGGUGGCCAGGAGCAGCAGAGGUGAAGGGAUGGAUCCACCUGCGGGUCUCUGUGGUUACCGUAGUGAUUCUCUGCAGUCACCAUAAGGGCGUCUACACAGUGUGUCACCACUGACAGUGCUGGGUUCUAGGACAUAAAACUCUUUCCACUCUGGCAGGUUCUUCAUUCUUCAACCCACAUGAGGGAGGGAUGGCCCCAUUUGUAGGCACGGAAGCUGUCACUCUGACGGCUCUAGAGGCCUAUUGAGCCUGCUGGCCUCUGUCUCUGCACCCAGUCCAUUUCUCUCAGACACACUGCUGGGUUCUGCACACACCCAGGAGAGCCUCUGCAUCCAUCUUGAUUAAAGAUGGGUGUGGAUCCUCUCCCACAUCCUAGGGUGUGGGGCAGCCAUUGCCCUGGAGGGUUCUUAGCAGUGGACUGGCUGCAUCAGGUCACACUUAACGCCUCAAGAGAGAGCUUCUGUAGGGAAGAGGAUUCGGGGGCUAUUAAGAUAGAGAUUCUGAUAGCACCUGAGCAAAGUGAUCACAGGCCCUCCUGCCUCAGUUUCCCCAGUACUGAGAGGAAGGAGCCCAACCAGAUGUUGAGGAGACUUCUGGUUUGGGGUGGCUCUGGGUAACACUCUCGAAGCUGCUUGCACAGGGCUCAGAGCUACUUCCUCUGUGAAGCCUCCUUCCUCAGACACAGGAAGGGUCAUGGCCAUGCAGACAGCAGGAUACUGGGUGUGUGUGUGGGGGGGUGGAGGUCCCCAUCAGAGGCCUCUUAGGGGAUAAUAGCUGAAGGUCCCCAUGAAGUUUCUGCCUGGGAUCUGCUGGGAUGCAUCUCUCAUGUGUGUGUCUGAGGCUAAGAAUCUAGACACUGUCCAGGACACAGGAGUACCCCCAUCCCCAGAGGACAACAUAGCCUUUGACUUAGCAGGCCCUGGGGACCCUGCUCCCUCCCAGCUGGGUUGACCCUGGCUCCCCCACCACCCAUCCUCUCUGAUUCUCCUCUCUUCAGUUGGCAAACAGGGGUUAGAGGUCAAGGUUUUACCCAAUGCUGCCUCCGGAGAUAUUACUGGAGGCAAGAGCUGUGUCCAUGUGGGUAUGAGCGCCCGGGUGGGUUGCAGGACCCCAGGUGGCCAUGAUGAAAAUCUGUCCCUUGCCCAUGGUAUCUAUGGGUAACAGAUAUGCCAAUGAGUAGCAUGUCCUAAAAGGAUACAGAGUAGAGACAAGGUCCCGAACAGUUGUUGAGCUGUGUUGCUGCUAAACUUCCCCACUGCUGUCUCCUCCAGCUGCGUCUGUCCUCUUCUUCCCAUGAGCCUCAGGCUACAGACAGUACAUGCUGGCAGCAACAAGUAGCCACAGGAAGCAGAGAAGCUGCAGACAUGGUGUGCCCAUGGAGGGGCAUGGAAUGUCUUCCUGUCUGCCUGGCUUUUUCCCAGUGGGAACUCUAUGUCCCUCGUGAUCAGUGUUACGCCCUGUCAUCUGUGAGCUCUGGAACCUCCAUUCAGAACUCCUCCCUGGUUGGCUGUACUCACCAAGGAAAUGGCUUGCUCAUCCCGUGUGGGAGUGGCCAAGCAUCUGACGGUGACUGUGACCAUGCGCAACAGGCCUUAAUCCAAAUAGAAGCGAGUGCAUGUGCACACACACACACACACACACACACACACACACAAACGUGUACACCCAGGAAACACACAUGUAUACACACACAUAUACAUGCACCCACACAUGUGAACAUAACUUAUACUUGUUCAUGUGUGCACGUAUAUACGCACACCUGUGAGUGUAAUUUGCACAUGUUCAGUAAUGAACACUUGUGAACAUACAUAUGUAUACUGAGAACAGAUAUAAGCACUCAAGUAUACAUGCAUACCCACGAAUACUACAUGCUCAUGUUCACACAUGUCCAAAAAUACAUUCACAUGCGUACACACGUACCCUCAUGUGAACACACACAUACAUGAUCUGCAAGAGACAGUGAGAAGAUCCUCGGGCUUCCAGACAUUUCUUAGAGGCUUGUUUUAAUUUUUCCAUCUGGCUGCUCAGUUCCCACUAACAGGAGUUUCUUGGGAGGUAAACAUGAGAGUCCCUAGGGAUUCAGGCACAGGUGACAACCUGUGCAACCUCCUGAGCAUUUCCUGUGUGUGUAAAGGGCGUGGAGCCGGCACACCGUCUGCCAGGGAGCUUUGCUGGGACAGCGGCAGCCUUGGGUGAGUCACACGGCUCACCAUGUGUGUUCCAGUGUCUGCCUGGUCAGACCAGAGGACCGUGAAGAAAUGAUGUCCUGGGGCAAAGGUGGUGUUCUGUACCCUUAGAAAAAUGCAGCUUCAUGCCUACCGUGUGUCAGUACCACCAUGGUUUCCUGCCCCUUCCGCAGCCUCAACAACGUGCCUGUACUUCAUGGCUGUGGUUGGAAUGAUUAACAGCACAGUCCCACCCCCACGCUGCUCAAAUCCUCAUCUGCCCAGCAGACACUUGCUGAGCAGCUCCAGCUGCCCCUGCUGUGUCAUGGGCGCUCACCUGAAGUUACUCCUGUGCAGACACAGGUGUUGUAUCACAAAACAAGCAGCAGUCCCCUGACAGGCCGGUGGUCUACCACUGCUGACCUGACUCUGUGCCUAACAGAAACACUCUCACCCCCC
rnacentral:lncRNA from 1 species